GCCGGGCGUGGUGGCUCAUGCCCGUAAUCCCAGCACGUUGGGAGGCCGAGGCAGGCGGAUCUCCUGAGGUCAGGAGUUUGAGACCAACCUGACCAACAUGGAGAAACCCUGUCUCUA
rnacentral:SRP_RNA from 2 species